UGUGUGCGUGCGGAGUGACAGUAGCGAGCGUGAGGCAGUGUUCGCGGUUGCAAGGUAGCAACGAUGGAGGAUCAGGAGGUUGCAGCACGCGCGAGCAGAGGCGUUGGAUGGCGCUGUUGUGGAUGAAUCCACUCCAGAGUAGAGUAGACAAGUACUGGAGUUUCGUUGCCUCCAUCGGCGUCGUCCUUGAGUUUCAGAAUAUGGGAAAUACAAGACCGCACAGAGUGAGCAAGGCGGAGCCACUGACAGACAGCUGAUUCGGGAGGAA